rnacentral:lncRNA from 1 species
AGGCGGGGACCGGGUACUCCCGCUGCAGCCCCCGAAGCUCCAUCUCCUCCGGAUCACUCACCGAGCCCGUGGACAUCCCGUUGUCCCCCUUGCCCACACGCGUCCUCUUUCCUCCCCCCUGGCCAGUCUCGCUGUCUCCGCCUUCCGCUCCCUGGCGGAGGCGGAGGCCAGAGAGCGCUCCAAGGAAGACUAAAAACCCAGGCCGGGAAGCGCGGGGUGAGAAAGCGAGGUGGGUGGCGAGAGCGUGAGCGCCCCUCUGCUGACCCCGGGGAGCGUGGACUACGAGUUGGCGCCCAAGUCCAGAAUCCGCGCGCACCGCGGAAAAUAUUUGCAAUACCUGCCACGUCCAAGGUUCAGCUGAGGCCAAUGUAAAGCCAGUAUUAUAGGACACUUCUCAGACUGAGAGCCCAAUGUCGUUGGAAACCACUGGGCCACAGGAAAGGCAGGCUCUCUCAGUCCUGCUCCUGCCAUGGAAGAAGCCUGCUCCCACCAUGCCUUCUGCCACGAGUAAAAGUUCCCUGAGGCCUCCCCAGAAGCAGAUGCUGUCGUGCUUCCUGUAUAGCUGCAGAACUACUUAUAGAUGGGGUCACACACCAUUCUACAAAGAGGGGAGUCUCUCCGUGAAAUGACUUGAACUUAUAAAGCGCAUUCUGCUAUGUGGUUGCCUCACCAACUCCCUUCCUGCCUGGACUAUUACAGUAACCUGUGGAUUGGUCUCCUUGCCUUGAGACGAUGACAUUUCUGGCACCUAAACCCAUCAGCAUCAAGUUGUUCUUUUGAAAACAUAAAUAUGACCAUGUUACAUGUUUUUAAACCUUUCAAUGGAAUACUUUCACCUACAGGAUAAUGUUUAGAUUUUUUAACAUGGCAUGCAUGACGCUUCACUCUCUGGCUUCCACACAUUCUCCAGAAUUACUUCCUGUCACUCUCCUAUGUCUAUUCUUGUCUCCAACAAUUCCCAACCUCUUGUGCUGUGGUCCAUGGCUCUCCAUGCCUCAUGCCUGUGCUGUCCUGGAGCACUUCCUUCAACUGAUACACAAAAAAAGUCUUGCUUAUUCUUCCCUGAUCUACCUGGGUUUCACCUUCACCUGUAUGCAGAGUUAAUGCCUUCCCGCUGUCUGUUCCCAUAUCAGGCUGUGUACUAUUGAAAUAUUCAUCACUCCCUUCAGGCUGUGGCUUAAUGUGCCCAUCUCCUUAUCAGCCUUGGCAAUUUAAGGACAGAGGUUUUGUUUUGUUUUUUGUUUUUUAAUCUCUCUCAUUUUUGUGUGUUCUCAGGAGCAGGAGAGAAGGGAUGUUAAUAUGUUGAAUUAAUGUUAAUCAUUAAAACCAUCACAACCCCAAAUUUCUUUAAUCCCUACUUAAUCCAAAUUGAUUGAAUUUGUACAAUUUUCAUGAAUGUUGAAUAAUCUUGAGGUGAAAUAAUCUUAUUUCACAAAAUAAAAAUUUGUUGAAAUAUCAUUCAACAAAGAUAUUAUUCUAAAUAUUCAAAACCGAAAGAAAGCAUAGGUCAUAGAGCUAUUUGGUGGUCAGUUCAGAGGAAACUUUGACAGGAUGAUGCCAACAAUGGGAAAAAAAAAGCCCCAAUAACCAUCCUGUCUUAUAACCUACAAAUAAUGUUACAUACAAUUUUAAAUUCAAAUAUAUUUGUUAGCAUGUUUGAAAUCUAUUUUUGUUUGUUUGUUUUCCUGGGCUCCUCAGAUAGUGAAUUGGACUUAGGAACAGAUUUUGAAGAAUAAACUAGAAUCAGUCAAGUGGAUGGAGGGUAAAUGUCCUCUAGGGGGAUAACUCACCAGAAAAAGAGGCUGAAGAGUAGGC